GACGAACGCUGGCGGCGUGCUUAACACAUGCAAGUCGAACGAAGUGGCGAACGGGUGAGUAACGCGUAAUCAACCUGACCUUCAGAGGGGGACAACAGUUGGAAACGACUGCUAAUACCGCAUACUGACGGAGGGGAUUGCGUCUGAUUAGCUAGUUGGAGGGGUAAAGGCCCACCAAGGCGAUGAUCAGUAGCCGGUGUGUGAGGAGGAGCAGUCAUACUGGAACUGUGACACGGGCCAGGUUCCUACGGGAGGCAGCAGUGGGGAAUAUUGGACAAUGGGCGAAAGCCUGCUCCAGCCAUGCCUCGUGUGUGAAGAAGGUCUUCGGAUUGUAAAGCACUUUAAGUUGGGAGGCGUUACCAACAGAAUAAGCACCGGCUAACUUCGUGCCAGCCGCCGCGGUAAUAC
rnacentral:rRNA from 1 species